rnacentral:lncRNA from 1 species
AUAACACAAAUUCAAAGCUUAAACAUAAGAAAAUAACACCUCAUUUUAUUUUCUAAGUGUUUAAGCAAAGAAAAAAGAUAACUCAAGAAAUGAAGAUUGGUAAUGCUAACAUGGUAGGGUCAAAGAGAAGGCUAUCAAGCAGAGGAAUGGGAGGGGUCCUAAGGGAACAAAGGGCUAGGCUAUAUAUAAUAAGAAGGUGUGUGAUGAUGCUCCUAUGUUGGCAUGACUAGUAGUAGCAAUAGAUACAUUUUUUUCUAUACUGGUUCCCAUUUUAUGUGGUUAAUCACUUUUAUAUUAUCAUUAUAAGAUUUAUUUUAUAAAUAAUCGGUAUGCCGUAUGCUGAAUCCGAUAUGUCGUAUGUAGGCUAGAUAGUGGUUGAAGUCUGGAAGACUUUUAAGUCCAAGUUUUGUUCUUUUUUCUCUUUCUUUUUUCCUCUGAUUCAUGGUGGAUCUGUAAAUAGGUAACGGGUGGACAUUGUGGGAGAGUAUAACAAUUUUUUGUAUGGGUUUCUGACCAUAUAUUAUAUAUAUGCAUCAUGGCUAUCGGAAUAGAAAUGAAUUAUAAUUGUAUGACA